UGGUAAUUGUGUAUCAAUUUCUUUCAGACAAGCUUCGUUCAGUUACAGAUGUAAACCAAACGUCCAAUACGCUGCAACUGAAGAUAUCCCAGCAGUCUGUUUCCGUUCUACAAGAAAUGAAUGACUUGCUUCAACCUCUACUGGACGCUUCCGCUCACGAAAUUCACCAGAUCUGCCCAGACGCCCAGCAUGCCUUGCGUUCUAUUACUACGGAAAUCCAGCUAAGUCAAUAAAAGAUGUUUGUUUAAAGGGACCCUAUUGCAUCACGGGUUAUCUUAUCGCAAUAUAUUUUUUAAUUGCAAGAUGAUUUGCGUACCACAGGGAGCCCUUAAGGAAAUUCUUUCUGUGCUUAGUCACUACGUUCCUUCGCAAAGAAAACGUUUAUAUUGUAUAUUCUACAUAACAGACACAGGGUGUAGACAAAGGGAAAGUAGAAGUAGGAUAAUUUGGUGAGGACGUCCAUUCCAUGAUGGGAAUUCCUUGAUAUGCCCCUCCUAGUAAUCGAUCCCCCAAACCAUAGAAACCCUGGAGGCCUUUUUAAAUCUCAUCGUUAUGAACCCGCAAUCCUAAUGAAAUCGUUAGAAACAAGAAGAAAAAAAUUGUUGAGAUCUCUACCUUAAAGGAUAGGGGUUGGUACAAAAACGAUUCUGCAGUAGUUUCCCAAUGAUAGUAAAUCACAGUGAUUCGUCCAGGAACAAAAUACCGCGCCUCUAACUAUUAAAACACUUUACAAAACUCUUUGACAUACGAUAUAAUAUUUACCAAGGGAAUUUUUUUUAAACUUAUUAAAAGGAUUUACAAUUCUUUAACUCUAUCAGUUAUGAACUAUCGUAUUAUUAUGAAUCUUAGUGGUAUGUGUCCAGGGUAACAUAGUGAGCUAGUGACUCUUAGUGAUAUGUGUCCAGGGUAACAUGGUAUUUCAAUGGCGUCCGAACGCAAUUCAAGAAAACAAUUGGCGACUCUGGAUACGAGAUUGUCCUAACUUUACAAAUGUACUACCUUGAUAUCUAAAAGAAGCGAUAUAAAAUCAACUGUCUCUAUUACAUUAUUA